rnacentral:rRNA from 1 species
CCUACGGGAGGCAGCAGUGGGGGAUAUUGCACAAUGGGGGAAACCCUGAUGCAGCGACGCCGCGUGUGGGAAGACGGUCCUCUGGAUUGUAAACCACUGUCCCCAGGGACGAAGAUGACGGUACCUGGGGAGGAAGCUCCGGCUAACUACGUGCCAGCAGCCGCGGUAAUACGUAGGGAGCGAGCGUUGUCCGGAAUUACUGUGUGAAAAGGGAGCGUAGGCGGGACUGCAAGUUGGGUGUCAAAUCUACCGGCUCAACCGGUAGCCGCACUCAAAACUGCAGUUCUUGAGUGAAGUAGAGGCAGGCGGAAUUCCUAGUGUAGCGGUGAAAUGCGUAGAUAUUAGGAGGAACACCAGUGGCGAAGGCGGCCUGCUGGGCUUUUACUGACGCUGAGGCUCGAAAGUGUGGGGAGCAAACAGGAUUAGAUACCCCGGUAGUC